rnacentral:rRNA from 1 species
UACGUAGGCAGCGAGCGUUGUUCGGAAUUACUGGGCGUAAAGAGUGUGUAGGCGGUGCUCCCAGUCUGUUGUGAAAUCUCCCGGCUUAACUGGGAGGGUGCAGCGGAAACUAGAGUGCUAGAGGGUGGGAGAGGUAAGCGGAAUUCCUGGUGUAGCGGUGAAAUGCGCAGAUAUCAGGAGGAACACCGGUGGCGAAGGCGGUUCUCUGGGCCUGUUCUGACGCUGAGGAGCGAAAGCGUGGGGAGCGAACAGG